rnacentral:misc_RNA from 1 species
CAUGUGUAUAACAAAAUGCUCAUCCAAACCCUCCCUUGGAAGACAUCUAGCUUUCACAGAUGAGACAACGUAAUCCCUUCCAGGGGGACUCAAAACAUUAGAUGGCAAUCUUAUCCUAUAGAACUCAUCGCCAAUAAGCAGUUUCUCAAAAUUCCCCUUUUCCGCUUGUGUAAACGCAUUUCUCGAAAACCUCAGCUUCGUGAGUGUCUGGCCGCCAUGACUCCAAGUUUUGAGGCGAGCAGAGAAGGUGCCGGCGGGAACAAAAUCCGAGUCACCGAAUGCGUGUUCGAGGGAAAAUUGGAUCUUAGAAUCCGAAUCGGAAUCCGAAAACUUCCGUCGGGUAGUAGUGGUAGGAGUUGGGGAUGAUCUGAUGUAUGUAGGAUCAGAGGAGCGUUGGUGACGCUGAGGAGGCGCUCCUUCGAGGCCGAAUUCUUCAUCAUCUACAAGAAGCUCAUCUGAUUGGAAAGCGUGAAAAGAUGAAGUUAAGAGAAAAACAGAGAACAUGAAACUGAGAAAUCG